UGGGGAAUUUUGGACAAUGGGCGAAAGCCUGAUCCAGCAAUGCCGCGUGUAGGAUGAAGGCCCUCGGGUUGUAAACUACUUUUGUACGGAACGAAAAGACUCUUUCUAAUAAAGAGGGUCCAUGACGGUACCGUAAGAAUAAGCACCGGCUAACUACGUGCCAGCAGCCGCGGUAAUACGUAGGGUGCAAGCGUUAAUCGGAAUUACUGGGCGUAAAGCGUGCGCAGGCGGUUAUGUAAGACAGAGGUGAAAUCCCCGGGCUCAACCUGGGAACGGCCUUUGUGACUGCAUAGCUAGAGUACGGUAGAGGGGGGAUGGAAUUCCGCGUGUAGCAGUGAAAUGCGUUAGAUAUGCGGAGGAACACCGAUGGCGAAGGCAAUCCCCUGGACCUGUACUGACGCUCAUGCACGAAAAGCGUGGGGAGCAAACA
rnacentral:rRNA from 1 species